AUCAUUUAUCAUUUACAUAGCAUUUUUGGUUUUUGCACCAUGCAGGUAUAAAAGGUCCAGAAUUAUUAAACAUGUGGCAUGGUAAUACUGAGGGGAAUGUGAAAAAUCUUUUCUCGAAAGCAAUAAGUGAAUACAAGAAGUAUGAGAAUAGGUAGCUCUACCGAUUCAGACUAAAUGGAUCGAGUUGUGAAUCAGUUGUUAACAAUGAUUGAUGGUUUUCACAAUAUGAACAACAUCUUCAUUGUUGGAACAACCAACAAAUUGGACCUUAUACAUCCUGCUCUUCUGAGGUAAUAUUCUCUCCCUCCCUUUCUCUCUCUUUGAUGCACCCACACAUAUACUCAUCCUUAUAGUGUUCAAUUCAUAAACUGGGUCGAUUAGACCUUCCUGAGAUAGGCGCUCUUGAUGAAGCAGGAUGUGUUCGGAUUUUAAAAGUUCACACUAAAAAAUUAUUAGGUAACUCUUUACCUGAGUUGGAUGUGAGCCUCAAAGACAUAGGUAAAAAUUAUUUUAUUUUUUUGCUUCAAUAAUAUUGAUAAAUGGAACCAUAAUCUCAUGUCACUGGUUUGUAUUACAUGUAUUUUUGUUAAUAAUAUAAACUUUUGUGGGUUUGGUAUUCAAAUCCAAUUUGCCUUUUGAAACUAAUUGUUCAUCUAUGUUUUCUUUUAUUUAUUGGGAUUCAAGAUGCUAGCUAAAAUUUCUGAUUUGUUCUUGUGAUGUUUCUCUCUUUGUUGGUUGUGUGCUAUUUGUACAAGAACAGCUACUUUGACUCCAAGUUGGACUGGAGCAGAUCUUAUAAGUCUCACAAGAUUGACGCUUGUCAAAUGCUUUAACUCGGGUCAUGGGAGGCACACUGGGAAAAUUUUGCAAGUAUGAAGGAUAUAAGAAA